GCAAUUUGGCAAAAGGUGGAUCAGAUCCACCAAUUGGUGGAUCAAGUGGGAACGGGGUCCAAGAUGCAUUGCCGAUUAUCUUGCAGUUUGUUGACACAUAUCACAGAUCUAAAUAAAUUGUUCUUUAAACUACUCAGGAAGCUGUUGGGAAGCUCACAUAUAAAAUCCACCGUUGAUCCGUGACCCAAAACGGUGCUAAAAUGACGAUUUUAAGUUCAGGUUUUUUCCGUUUCGGCGCUAAAAAUACCGAGUGAAGAAUUACGUCAUUAUUUUCCAACGACCAAUCAGCGAGGCCCUUCUAUCGUGGUGCGGUGAAUGGACCAAUAGCGGGCGCUGUAAGUAAGAGCAUGCGCAUGCGCGGUAAGCACUACUAGACAGCAAGAUGGCGGCCGCCAUGAGUUCCUCGGACGACGGCGAUUCGGACGAAACGAAGUGCAUUAUGCAUGUUUCGAAUGCCGAAUCGAGCGUUUUAUCGUUCUCCGAGACAAGCUGGAUAAAAUUACACGCGCAGAAAUCGUGGAAAAAGCGGAGAAGUUCAUCGGCAUGCACGUGCACCACUGACAUGACUGAUGCAGCACUCUCGUGGAAGGAGAUGUGUACCGGAAUCAUCGGCCUACGUUAGUUCGUAUUAUUAUUCUUGCCUUGAACCUAAUUGUAAGAAGCCGUUGGAUUCGGAAUAUUUCAGAAUAUUUUUUCUACAACCUAGAUUCGUAUGAUGUGUGAUUUGUUUUGUAAAAUAUGUUACUAGUACUACUAGUAGACCAUCUGACCGUCCAUUGUUGACAUCAUGAUCAUGGCAAGUUAGGAAAAGCCACAGAUCAAAGAUUUUUUUCCCCCUCACUCAGAUGUAGGAUUUUAAGACAAGGAAGAGACUCUUAUUACAUUGCACAACGGAACAUUUUAUAUUGAGUAGGCCUAUGCUUCCUGAACUUGGCGACUGUGUAUAGAACGGCCGGUUCCCUUGAUUUAAAAUAAGGAGAACAAAAUCCACUUUGACUUUAUACUUGGCAUCAUUGGGGACUGUGUAGUAUGUUGUGGGUCUACCAUUCAAUUAAUUUAUAAUUAUCUAAGUACCAAGUCGUUAAAACCAACAUUUUGCCAUUCUUUAAGCUGUCAGCCCAUAGCGUCCUCAUUUCAAGUGUACUUUUAUUUCCUUGCUAUUUUUUUUUCUACAUAGUAUAAUAUAAUAAAAAAUAAUGAGAACCUGCCCACUUCUCUUAAUGUCAAGCCCUCACUGUCAAUAUAUUUAGAUUUUAGAUUUUCACUUUUUUUUCCAUUUUUAAAUUUUUUUCCCUGAUCACUACAUGUGAAGAAUAGUAUACAAAAAAUAAAAUGUUUGUACCUGAAGGUGCCAUGGUGUAAAUAUUUUCCUAAGUUAGAUGAUAGAAUGUUCCAUUCUACGAGGUGAAGCUGAGUUGAAUGGAACAUUUCUCUUUGACCCAUAAUCCUCCAAUCAACUGACAAAGAUUUACAUUUUGAAAUAAUUGAAAUGAGAGUAAUGAGUGAUAUUGUAAAAACAUUUUCUCAAUUACAGGCAUUUGGAUACCAUCAACACAUUCAGCAGUGCUACAAACGUCUGUCAUGUUUCCAUGAUAGACUGUGCAGAAAGACUUGCAAAGAAACAACAACAUGAAAGUCAAGAUACAGCAUGUUCCAGAUGGGAACUGUGAUGGAGUCAAUGAUGCCGCCAAACAAGGAUGCCACGUCCUGAAGUGCUGUCUCCACACAGAAGAGGUUGGAAAGUCAUCGGCGAUGACAUCAGUAUCCACUGGAUGGAUCUUCCCCCUGCCCCAGACAGUGUCAUGGAAUUUGCCCAUUGCUCAUGUAAAAAAGUCAAUGCACAAAAGGCCAGUGUAGCUGUCUUGAAAAAAACUGCCAUGCACAGACUUGUGCAAGUGCACCAACUGUGAAAACAUUCCAAGUGAAGGGCAGCGCACUUCACCCAAAAAGGAUUCAGAUAUCGAGGACUGACCAUCACGUACAUGUACAUGUAUGUCUAUCUAAAUAAGGAAUAGGAUUGUCACUUCAGAAAGUUUGAAUCACACAGUCUGCUUCCCAUCCACUUAAAUAUUUCCAAAUAUGAAUCAACAGGACUUAUGUUUAACUAACUUACAUUGUUAUGGAUGUACACAACUAAAAAAACACCAAAGUUCAGUCUUACGGUUGAAAUGGACACCGUUGACUUUGUUGCAGGAUUUUUCCACUUGCAGUUUCAGCAAGGGGAUGGGAAAUAAUCUUACUAUGUGUUUUCCUUUUUGACAAUCCUUUUUCUUUUUAAGCGCUGACCGUGAAGCCAAAGAAGAUUUUUUGUGGUAAUUUGUAAGGGCUUAAAAACAGUUUAUUCCUCUUCAGUAAUGUUCAUGCUUACAGUCUUAUUUGUUGUUGAUCAAAUAGACUCUAUAAAGACAUCCUUGAGAGCUUUCUGUUACUGUAAUUCCUAUUUUUUUUUUUUAGGGGGGGUGCAAAAGAUUGUCCUCCAAGAUGCUAUGCAAAAGGCCCAAAAGGCUCUAGGUUGAUGCCUUCGUGCAAAGAGAAAUGUUUCACAUUUUAUAUUAGAGGUAUUCACCAAUCCUUUUAUACAUUGUACCAUGUUCUCAACAGCAGUUAUGGUUUCUUUGAAGGUUGAUGACAUGUUUCGUGUUCUCCUUCGACCCUUCAAAUGAUUUGAAAAUUAUACAACGGAACUCGCUGUAGAUAAUGGAUGUAGUUUCCAGAUGCCAUUGGAUUCGCCAUUGAAAAUUCAUGUCUGUUCACCAUUUUUGCAAUGACUAACCUUUGUUGAGAUGAUAUGAAGAAAAAAGGGGUGCCAGGUUACAACAGUCUUUCCCGGAACAUGUUUAAUAUGUAAGACAGUUGAAAAAUUAAAAGUACAUGUAAUUGCAGUUUAUUUUAAUCCUCAAAAAUAUUGGCUCCACCAGAGACGCAAACCGCAAGCACUGUAUUAUAAUUUUUGCCAAUCACAGUAAUUAUUUCUCAAGUCUUUUUAUUUACUGUUUACCGUUUUGUUUUUUGUAUGAAUAAAUAUCGUCAAAGGCUGAAGUUAUAAA
rnacentral:lncRNA from 1 species